AUGGGAUACAAAGUGGUCAUAUUUGACAUUUCUGUUGUCAGAGCCUUGUGGGAAACUUGUGUCAAGAAGCACAAGUUUGGCAGAAGAAGGAGGCAGAAAGUCUUGAGAAGAGUGCAUCAGAAAAGACAAAGGAGGAGUGGCCCCUUGAGGUCAAGUGCAGGAGGAAAGGCAUCUCCUGGGCUGAGUACUGGCUGGGAUAGUGGCUUCAUAGACAUUCAUAGCAUGCAGCUUCUGGAAAAGAUAGAAAGGAAAGCUCUCACAAGGCAGAGUUCACUUCCCAAGGACAGAGGCAAAUGGAGCAGUGUGUUUGUGUUUGGACUUUCUGGGGAGUACUGGACGGAGCUGCCAGAUUUGUUAAAGGAGCAGACGCACCUGAGAGAAUGGCAUGUAUGCGACACCCUGAUUCAAAUUACUCCCACAUAUAUUGAGCUGUUUCAAGCGAUGAGAAUUCAGGAUCUGCCAAAGAAACAAAUCUCACAUUUUCCAGCUAAACUCAGUUGUUUGAAGAACCUGAAAUAACUCAAUGUGAGUUUCAACUAUCUGAAGAGCAUUCCUCCAGAGCUGGGAGAUUGUGAAAUCUAGAGGGACUGGAUUGUUCUGGAAAUCUGGAAUUCACAGAGCUGCCUUUUGAAUUAAGUAAUUGGAAGCCAGUUGCAUUCGUAGAUAUCUCAGCAAACAAGUUUUCCAGUGUCCCAGUCUGUGUCCUGAGGAUGUCUAUUUGCAGUGGUUGGAUAUCAGCAACAAUAACCUGACUGCCUUGCGGCAAGAUACAGGCUGGAAGAGCCGCAGGGCUUUCUCUUGUAUAGAAGCAAGUUGACCUACCUUCCUUACCCCAUGCUUAACCUGAAGAAGCGCACCUUGUUAGUCGUCAAUGGGGACCACUUGGUGGAGCUUUCAGCUGCUCUUUGUGACUCCUCCACACCUUUAAAAUUUGUAAGCCUUAUAAACAAUCCCCUCAUGAAAGCCUAUAUUGAAGAUCUUAAGGAAAGAGAAUCUGUCCCAAGCUAUACCACCAAAGGGUCUUUUAGCCUUCAACUUUGA
rnacentral:lncRNA from 1 species